AUUUUGAAUUUUAAAUUUUAAAAUUUUAGAAAUUUAAUUGUUAUAAAUACUGUGGAAUUGUAUGAUCUGUAUUCAAACAGCUUAAAAAUAAAGUUAUGGAAUUUUUUUCUAGUUACAGAAUUUCGUAUUUCAUUUAGAUCAAAACUAUAGAAUACAAAUUCUAUGGAGUUUUUUAACUAUGUAUCCAAACAGGGCUUUAGUGCAUUUAAUCAUAUUAAUCUCUUAGGCCUAGUCAUUGCACAAAAUAUUAUAGCUGAAUUAAAAGGUUUAAUUCUAUGAUACUUUACAUAG
rnacentral:lncRNA from 1 species